AUUCAGGCCUAACACAUGCAAGUCGAACGGCAGCACGGACUUCUGUCUGGUGGCGAGUGGCGAACGGGUGAGUAAUGUAUCGGAACGUGCCCAGUUGUGGGGGAUAACUGCUCGAAAGAGCAGCUAAUACCGCAUACGACCUGAGGGUGAAAGCAGGGGAUCGCAAGACCUCGCGCAAUUGGAGCGGCCGAUAUCAGAUUAGGUAGUUGGUGGGGUAAAGGCUCACCAAGCCAACGAUCUGUAGCUGGUCUGAGAGGACGACCAGCCACACUGGGACUGAGACACGGCCCAGACUCCUACGGGAGGCAGCAGUGGGGAAUUUUGGACAAUGGACGCAAGUCUGAUCCAGCCAUGCCGCGUGCGGGAAGAAGGCCUUCGGGUUGUAAACCGCUUUUGUCAGGGAAGAAACGCUCUGGGUUAAUACCUCGGGGUAAUGACGGUACCUGAAGAAUAAGCACCGGCUAACUACGUGCCAGCAGCCGCGGUAAUACGUAGGGUGCAAGCGUUAAUCGGAAUUACUGGGCGUAAAGCGUGCGCAGGCGGUUAUGCAAGACAGAGGUGAAAUCCCCGGGCUCAACCUGGGAACUGCCUUUGUGACUGCAUAGCUAGAGUACGGUAGAGGGGGAUGGAAUUCCGCGUGUAGCAGUGAAAUGCGUAGAUAUGCGGAGGAACACCGAUGGCGAAGGCAAUCCCCUGGACCUGUACUGACGCUCAUGCACGAAAGCGUGGGGAGCAAACAGGAUUAGAUACCCUG
rnacentral:rRNA from 1 species